ACACUUUUAGUUUACUUUACAGAUAAAUUUUAGAUUUUAGUAAAGCCUUCUACCAAAUUCUGAAAUGAGACGUUCGUUGAAAUCUUUCCCGCUCAGAUUGAGCACCAGUCGAGCACUCAGUGCCAGAAAGGGCUCCAAAACAAUAAAGGGAACGGAUAGCCCUCUGAAGCAACUUGAUGAAAAUCCUUGCCCAACAAAGCGCAGUGACCCAGGUCCUCGUUGCAAGCCGAAAGAGGGGGAGAAGAAGGAGGGGCAGAAGAAGGAGGGCGAUAAGAAGAAUCCAAGCAAAAAAUGAGCUGCAUUUAAAAUCACUGAACGGGACGAAAGAUCUCUUUAAAAAUGUCGAAUGUUCUUAUUUUUAGGAAACUGACCAAAUGGCGGCGCCCAGGCACAACAAUUCACAUAAUAGAUCACAGAUUAUGCAGCAACAUGAAUCACUUGCAUAUAUAGUUCACUGCUGGCUGGCGAGCACACGAAGAUCAUAAAACGCAGCGCUCUAGACAUUAUAAAGCCAUAAAGAAACAAGUAAGAUCCAAGCGAAAAUAGCUGGCCAGGCCAGGGAACUAACGAAACAAGAAAAAAAAAGUAUUAUAACCAUAAAGAGUGAUAAAAUAAAGACUGUGUAGUUCCAUCGACAUUUUAUGACUUUGAGGCUGCUGCCCCUGUCAAAGUCUAGCAAAGAUCUCACAAAUUCGAUCCGAACUAGAUCAGAUAUAUACUAAAAUGAUUUGGCGCAAAAUAGAGAAAUUCAAUUGGAAAUGAUAAUUGCAUAAUUCGCUGGAAAACUGCAUUCUAUCAGCUGGCAGGUGCUUAAAAGCUCCCACGUAGCUCUCAUCUCAGAUCACUGCCAUCCAUGACAAAAAUAUUCAACUGGCUGCCGUUGCUACUGGAACGGGAAUUCAUAAAUUUCACACCCAGACCCGAGACCCGAGAACCGAGACGCGAGACUCGAGAGCCAAAGCACCAGUUUUUAUGGCAAUUCAAUUGCACUGCCACUGAUAUUUGUUUCCUGCUGCUACUGCAGCCCGGAAUCCCUGCCCCAUUCCCGGGCAGGUUGCAGCCGUAUGGCCAUGUACGAUUCGGUUUUCCCUAUGGCUAAUGUAAACAAUACCAAAUCUCGACACGGGCCGCACUUGUGUCGACUGCCGACUCAACAGUCGAAAUAAAAUUUUUUUUUUUUUUUUAAUUUUUCAUCUGUACUUUUCCUUGGGUCUAGGAGCCAACCGAUCGAUCGACCUAUGUGCGUACAUGUAUGUGUGUGUGGGAUUGUAUACAGCACAUUUUUGUCUUCUUAGGCUCUCUGUAUUUUGGUUUUACGAUUUUAGACUCCCAUUUCGCCGACCAUUCAAAUGAACAGUAAAUUCUUUCCAA